rnacentral:rRNA from 1 species
CUCAUAGCGUAUAUUAAUGUUGUUGCAGUUAAAAAGCUCGUAGUUGGAUUCCUGACCUGGGGUAGCCGGUCCGCCUUGCAAAAGGUGCGCACUGAGCGGCCUCGGUCAUCCUUGAGAAGAGCGGUCCUGGCAUUCAGUUGUCGGGGUCGGGAUUCUCGACGUUUACUGUGAAAAAAUCAGAGUGUUCAACGCAGGCUUACGCCUUGAAUACAUUAGCAUGGAAUAAUGAGAUAGGACCUUGGCGGUCUAUUUUGUUGGUUUGCACGCCGAGGUAAUGAUUAAAAGGGACGGUUGGGGUUCUUCGUAUUCAAUUGUCAGAGGUGAAAUUCUUGGAUUUAUGGAAGACGAACUGCUGCGAAAGCGUCGAACAAGGACGUUCUCAUUAAUCAAGAACGAAAGUUAGGGGAUCGAAGAUGAUUAGAUACCAUCGUAGUCUUAACCAUAAACUAUGCCGAUUCAGGAUUGGCGGUCGUUUGUUCUCGACUCCGUCAGCACUGUAUGAGAAAUCAAAAUCUUUGGGUUCCGGGGGGAGUAUGGUCGCAAGGCUGAAACUUAAAGAAAUUGACGGAAGGGCACCACCAGGAGUGGAGCCUGCGGCUUAAUU